rnacentral:tRNA from 1 species
GAAAAUUUAGUUAAUUUAUAACAUUAGUUUGUCAAGCUAAAAUUAUUAUUUUUAAUAAUUUUCU